rnacentral:misc_RNA from 1 species
CCGAGUUUACAACUCCCAAACCCCUGUGAACAUACCUAUAUGUUGCCUCGGCGGAUCAGCCCGCUCCCGGUAAAACGGGACGGCCCGCCGCAGGAUCCACAAACUCUGUUUUUAUUGUAACUUCUGAGUAACAAAACAAAUAAAUCA